GUCUUAGCAGUGUGACGACGGUAACUGGACCUGGGACGGUUCUCACAGUUGUACCAAAUGUCAUUGUGGAGAAAUCAACUAAAUCGGCAGCUGGUGGCACGACUGUGAAAACAACAACUUUGCCAUCGACUUUCCAUACCGAGAACAGCAGCUCUGUGGAACAGAGCACAGAAAGACAGUGCAUGGACAAGUCUGACAGCAGCUUGGUAACAAUAUUGCCAGACCCUGAAGGGCAGAGAGUGAACAUGCUGUCCAUGGCUGUGCUGGGUUUGAGAGUCCUGCUGGCAAAGAGCAUCACCUUCAAUGUCCUCAUGAGUAUCAAGUUGUUUCUUUUCUGAGGUAAGGGAGAUCACAGCUAUCAAACACUGGUU
rnacentral:lncRNA from 1 species